GGAAAAUGUGAUCAUUAUUUUGAAAUGGUGGUUGUCGAGGUAUUGACUGCAUCUUUUGGUGUAACUGGUUAUUCCUUAGCUCGGGAACAAAUUGGUUAUUGGGCGGGGAAAAUUGUAACAGGUGUACUUGAAGUUAUUCUUGUAUUGAUAUACCGAUUCGAUCCGAGCUCUCUUAUUGAAUUGCUCAUUCAAUGAGCAUUCUCAAUAUUAUACUUUGAAGAGGACUUGAAACUCCGUGCCAGCAGUCGCGGUAAGAUAGAGGAUGCAAGCAUUAUCUAGAAUGAUUGGGCGUAAAACGCCUUUAAGUAGCUUUUUAAGUGGAGCUAAGGUCCAAAAUAUGGAAGAAAGAAGCGUUUUCACGACUCUACCACCCCAGUCAAUCCGUUCUACUUAAUAUUUCUUUCUCUUUCAUGGCCACAUAUCUUUCCAGCCACAAUGAGAAAUGGUCUAAAAGAGCUUCCUUUGGCCCAUUCAUGGACGAUAUUGGGGGUUGAAUUAGCU
rnacentral:lncRNA from 1 species